rnacentral:rRNA from 1 species
CUGGCUCAGGACGAACGCUGGCGGCGUGCCUAAUACAUGCAAGUCGAACGGUCUUUCUAUGGAAGCUUGCUUCCACUGAAAAGAUAGUGGCGAACGGGUGAGUAACACGUGGGUAACCUGCCCAUAAGAGGGGGGAUAACAUCCGGAAACGGGUGCUAAUACCGCAUAGUUUUCUUGAUCGCAUGAUCGGGAAAGGAAAGACGGCCUUUGUGCUGUCGCUUAUGGAUGGACCCGCGGCGUAUUAGUUAGUUGGUGAGGUAACGGCUCACCAAGACGAUGAUACGUAGCCGACCUGAGAGGGUGAUCGGCCACAUUGGGACUGAGACACGGCCCAAACUCCUACGGGAGGCAGCAGUAGGGAAUCUUCCGCAAUGGACGAAAGUCUGACGGAGCAACGCCGCGUGAGUGAAAGAAGGUUUUCGGAUCGUAAAACUCUGUUGUCAGAGAAGAACAAGUUGGAGAGUAACUGCUCCAGCCUUGACGGUAUCUGACCAGAAAGCCACGGCUAACUACGUGCCAGCCGCCGC